rnacentral:rRNA from 1 species
GGGUGCCUACGGGGGGCAGCAGUGAGGAAUAUUGGUCAAUGGGCGGGAGCCUGAACCAGCCAAGUCGCGUGAGGGAUGACGGCCCUAUGGGUUGUAAACCUCUUUUGCCGGGGAGCAAAGUGCCGCACGUGUGCGGUUUGGAGAGUACCCGGAGAAAAAGCAUCGGCUAACUCCGUGCCAGCAGCCGCGGUAAUACGUAGGGGGCGAGCGUUAUCCGGAUUUACUGGGUGUAAAGGGAGCGUAGACGGUUCUGCAAGUCUGAAGUGAAAGCCCGUGGCUUAACCGCGGAACGGCUUUGGAAACUG